GCUUCUUAUUCGCUCGCCUAGUUUUUUUUCAGCUAGCUUUUCUACGCUCUUCCACUACAGUCUUUGGUUUUUUCUUAGCCAAAAUCGAGGGCUUUUGAAUGGUCUAUGCGCUAGCUCAAUUUAGUUCAGCUUUGGUUUUUGUCUAUUAGCCGCUCGCUAAACGCUCUCCAACAAACCACAAGCCGUUUUGAUUGACUUGGCGGCGCUGCAAAAGCGUUCGCUGACUUCAGUGUGCGCCGACCAGUUUAAGCAGGCAGACGACGGCCACAAUUCGGUUUUUUUUUGUUGUUGGUUGGCUGAGAGUGUGUGUCUGUGCGUAUAUGUAAAUUUGCCAAAUAUACAUACACAGGCGAGUAUAUUGUGGUUAAUAACGCGUCUCCGGGUGCAUAUUUUCAACUGAAAAGUUAAGCGUAUGCGAAAAAAGGCAAAUUCAAUUGAGAUCCUAAAAACCGUUCUAAAAAACAAACGAAGCGAACAGCAAUUGCAAGUGUUGAGUAAAAUUCAAGCGAAUAAGGAAAGAUCAAAAAUCAAUUAAAAUUAAAAAACAAACAAAAUUUAAUAAUAAUAUCACAGCAGUAGUCAGCACGACGAGCAAUCACGACAAAACGCCACAGUAUUCGUACACAAAAGCAAAAACAACAACUAAAGCAGCAAUCUUAACAACAGCAUCGCCUUUGGCUACUGCUGCUGUUUUCAAUCCCCCCCCCCUCCUCUGCUCCAAUACUCUCGGCAGCUCACUCAUUACUUGUUGCCUGUUGCAAAAUUUGUGUGGAAGAAAAAAAAAAACAGAAAAAUGCUGUUUUAAAUUUCAAAAAGCGUUCAAAAUAAAACAUUUUGUAGCAG